CCCCUCUCAGGAUCGCUCCUGGAGAGUUUCCAGUAUUCUACCAGUCUUGACUACGGGAAGGAAUGUCAAGCAGAGGCCUACCCAUUCCAUUCCUAGCUGGGCAGUGGUUAGCAAGUGGAAGGCAAUCUGCUACAAGU